rnacentral:rRNA from 1 species
UACGGAGGGGGCUAGCGUUGUUCGGAAUUACUGGGCGUAAAGCGCACGUAGGCGGACUGUUAAGUCGGGGGUGAAAUCCUGGGGCUCAACCUCAGAAUUGCCUCCGAUACUGCCGGACUAGAGUUCGGAAGAGGCGAGUGGAAUUCCCGGUGUAGCGGUGAAAUGCGCAGAUAUCGGGAGGAACACCAAUGGCGAAGGCAGCUCGCUGGGACGUUACUGACGCUGAGACGCGAAAGCGUGGGGAGCAAACAGG